AACGAACGCUGGCGGCAGGCUUAACACAUGCAAGUCGAACGCCCCGCAAGGGGAGUGGCAGACGGGUGAGUAACGCGUGGGAAUCUACCCAUCUCUGCGGAAUAGCUCCGGGAAACUGGAAUUAAUACCGCAUACGCCCUACGGGGGAAAGAUUUAUCGGGGAUGGAUGAGCCCGCGUUGGAUUAGCUAGUUGGUGGGGUAAAGGCCUACCAAGGCGACGAUCCAUAGCUGGUCUGAGAGGAUGAUCAGCCACAUUGGGACUGAGACACGGCCCAAACUCCUACGGGAGGCAGCAGUGGGGAAUAUUGGACAAUGGGCGCAAGCCUGAUCCAGCCAUGCCGCGUGAGUGAUGAAGGCCUUAGGGUUGUAAAGCUCUUUCACCGAUGAAGAUAAUGACGGUAGUCGGAGAAGAAGCCCCGGCUAACUUCGUGCCAGCCGCCGCAGUAAGAC
rnacentral:rRNA from 1 species